CCCCUCUCAGAGUGGGGCAGCUGCUUACCUCUGCCCAUCCCGCCCUCUCGGAGCUCUCCGGAGCCCCAACCGCCUCCUUACCCACUGGACACGGUAACCUGGAUCUUGCAUGAGGCCACCACCAAUUUGCAGAGGAGAAUCCACUUGGCUGGGGGACAACACAGUGGAUUUGAAAUCUGAAGGGGCAUUGGUGGUACUGGAACGGCUGGAGCUGGGCGAUAUUGCAGGCUAGACCUUGCCGUUUCCUAGUUAUAUGACCUGUAACCUCUGAUCUCAGUUUCCUCAUUGGAAAGAUGGGACAAUAUCUUUCCCUCAGGGUUUUCAUCAGUUCUUAAUAAAUAAUGCAUGUGCAA